rnacentral:rRNA from 1 species
ACCAGGAGCUAAAUAGCCUAAAGACACCAGAUCCCAACUGAUCUUUGAAUCUAAGCAGGAUUAGAUCUAAUUAGUACUUGGAUGGGUGAGAAGUACUAGGUGCUGUAGAUA